AAUGACUAAUGACUCUAGAUCGCGUCUGGAAAGGCAAUUUAAUUAGUACUUUAAAAACUAGUUACUAAUGAUAAUGGUAGGUUUAAUUACCGAUGGCGCUAAUGUUUUAACUGGACGGAGACAUAGUGUUCAGCAACAGCUAGUAGGUGCAACAAUUUUCUCACUUUCAUUGUUUGUCGCACCGAUUGCAGCUGGCACUGAAAGAUGCAGCCAGCACUUCAAAGGAACUCCAAAUUCUGCAGCUAUUUUGUGAGCAACUCUUCAUUUUUCAUCGAAGUUCUACUGUUAUAUCAGCGGUUUAUUGUAAAGCACGCAAAGUUUAUGGUGUAAAAGGCCAAAUGCAGAGUCAUACGAGUUAAUGUACCAGAUGGGUUACAAGUUAAGUACCAGAUGGGUUGCGCAUAUGGUAAAUGCGUUGGAGAAUCUUCUCAAUGGUCUAAAAGUGCAUAUUCAUAGUUAUACCACUAUCAGCUUGGAAAGCAACUACAGCGCAACACAGAAAUCAAAGGCUAAGUUUUUUGCAAAGAAAUUGGUUGAUCAGCACUUAAUGUCGACGGCGAUCUAUAUUCUUGAUGUGUGUAGAGCAAUGACAAUUUUUUCAGAGGCAUUAGUAAG